AUCUUAGAAUAUGGAUUCGAAUUUUUUUUGCUUAAAUCCCAGCAAUAGACUAUUAAGUGUAUUUAUGGGGAGAAACAUUGAAAAACAUCAAUGCAUCAGAGUGACAAACAAACAAGGAUGGUAUCAGGUCAUCGUGAGGUGUGCUAAAAAUAUCAGCUAAAUACCAUGCAAUUU